GGAGACAGAGAGGUAUAGGGCUGGGGUCACAUCUGAGGAGACAGAGAGGUAUAGGGCUGGGGUCACAUCUGAGGAGACAGAGAGGUAUAGGGCUGGGGUCACAUCUGAGGAGACAGAGAGGUAUAGGGCUGGGGUCACAUCUGAGGAGACAGAGAGGUAUAGGGCUGGGGUCACAUCUGAGGAGACAGAGAGGUAUAGGGCUGGGGUCACAUCUGGGGAGACAGAGAGGUAUAGGGCUGGGGUCACAUCUGAGGAGACAGAGAGGUAUAGGGCUGGGGUCACAUCUGGGGAGACACUGUACAUUUCCAUCUCCUCCUCUUCCUCUUUUUUUAUUUAAAAAAAAAAUAUUUUACCUUUAUUUAACUAGGCAAGUCAGUUAAGAACAAAUUAUUAUGUUCAAUGACGGCCUGGGAACAGUGGGUUAACUGCCUGUUCAGGGGCAGAACGACAGAUUUGUACCUUGUCAGCUCGGGGAUUCAAACUUGCAACCUUUCGGUUACUAGUCCAACGCUCUAGCCACUAGGCUACCCUGCCGCCCCAACACACAGAGGGUCUGACAAGGUGUCGUUCUGCAAACGUCCAAGGGGAGACCGGUAUGAGGCUGAACAGUUAAGACAGGACCGUAGAUUUGCAUAUAAUAUUAGUGUAAUAUCUUAAUUGCUAUGCGCUGAACAGUAAUGUCAUGGAAUCAAGGGGUGUGUUAAGUUCGCUUGGACGUUUGCGGCACGACAAGUUCUCCCCAAAAAACGUUCUUGAACCGACAGAUACGUUUGGUCCGUUCGGUGGGUGUGGCUUGAAGCAAUGAGUGACGUAUUUAAGAUGUCACACUAAAAAAAAAAGGGUCAAUGGUGGAAUUUGAACCCAAAACCAACUCCUUCCCGUUUCAGCUGGUCGUUCAGUACAGCUCCGUUUCCGUUCCACUGAACGUCCUAUUAGGGUUAAGUACUGAACACAGACAUGUUUUAAUAGGCAGCUG